rnacentral:lncRNA from 1 species
UUGAGGUUGACAAGGACCUUUAAUGAUAUAUGCCCUCCUUAUCUCAUCAGGAAGGUUUGGAUGAUAAUUCAAAAUUGGAGUUCUUUCAGCCGGAUCAGCCUUUAAAUCAUUUACAUCAAAUUCUUGUCUUUGGGAAGAGUGAGAUGAUAUUUCUAUUUGGUUGACAUUUUCAUCUCGGCGUAGUUGAUUUUGAUUUUGAGGCGCCAAACUUGUUUUGGGUACUCUAAAAAAAUAUUUCUCCAAACUCAUUGAACACCAAACUGAAAUAGUAGUCAAGUUCAAGUAUACCAAAUUUAUUAAAAAUCAUCCACAAUACACCAAAUAGUUGAUCGAUAC